UACGUAGGGCGCAAGCGUUGUCCGGAAUUAUUGGGCGUAAAGAGCUCGUAGGCGGCUUGUUGCGUCGACCGUGAAAACCCGGGGCUCAACUUCGGGCUUGCGGUUGAUACGGGCGGGCUGGAGUUCGGUAGGGGAGACUGGAAUUCCUGGUGUAGCGGUGAAAUGCGCAGAUAUCAGGAGGAACACCGGUGGCGAAGGCGGGUCUCUGGGCCGAUACUGACGCUGAGGAGCGAAAGCGUGGGGAGCGAACAGG
rnacentral:rRNA from 1 species